UACGUAGGGUGCGAGCGUUGUCCGGAAUUAUUGGGCGUAAAGAGCUCGUAGGCGGCCUGUCGCGUCGGAUGUGAAAGCCCGGGGCUUAACCCCGGGUCUGCAUUCGAUACGGGCAGGCUAGAGUGUGGUAGGGGAGAUCGGAAUUCCUGGUGUAGCGGUGAAAUGCGCAGAUAUCAGGAGGAACACCGGUGGCGAAGGCGGAUCUCUGGGCCAAUUACUGACGCUGAGGAGCGAAAGCGUGGGGAGCGAAACAGG
rnacentral:rRNA from 1 species